rnacentral:rRNA from 1 species
GACGAACGCUGGCGGCGUGCUUAACACAUGCAAGUCGAACGGAAAGGCCCUUCGGGGUACUCGAGUGGCGAACGGGUGAGUAACACGUGGGUGAUCUGCCCUGCACUUUGGGAUAAGCCUGGGAAACUGGGUCUAAUACCGAAUAGGACCACGCGCUUCAUGGUGUGUGGUGGAAAGCUUUUGCGGUGUGGGAUGGGCCCGCGGCCUAUCAGCUUGUUGGUGGGGUAAUGGCCUACCAAGGCGACGACGGGUAGCCGGCCUGAGAGGGUGACCGGCCACACUGGGACUGAGAUACGGCCCAGACUCCUACGGGAGGCAGCAGUGGGGAAUAUUGCACAAUGGGCGCAAGCCUGAUGCAGCGACGCCGCGUGAGGGAUGACGGCCUUCGGGUUGUAAACCUCUUUCAAUAGGGACGAAGCGCAAGUGACGGUACCUAUAGAAGAAGCACCGGCCAACUACGUGCCAGCAGCCGCGGUAAUACGUAGGGUGCGAGCGUUGUCCGGAAUUACUGGGCGUAAAGAGCUCGCAGGUGGUUUGUCGCGUUGUUCGUGAAAACUCACAGCUUAACUGUGGGCGUGCGGGCGAUACGGGCAGACUAGAGUACUGCAGGGGAGACUGGAAUUCCUGGUGUAGCGGUGGAAUGCGCAGAUAUCAGGAGGAACACCGGUGGCGAAGGCGGGUCUCUGGGCAGUAACUGACGCUGAGGAGCGAAAGCGUGGGGAGCGAACAGGAUUAGAUACCCUGGUAGUCCACGCCGUAAACGGUGGGUACUAGGUGUGGGUUCCUUCCUUGGGAUCCGUGCCGUAGCUAACGCAUUAAGUACCCCGCCUGGGGAGUACGGCCGCAAGGCUAAAACUCAAAGGAAUUGACGGGGGCCCGCACAAGCGGCGGAGCAUGUGGAUUAAUUCGAUGCAACGCGAAGAACCUUACCUGGGUUUGACAUGCACAGGACGCCGGCAGAGAUGUCGGUUCCCUUGUGGCCUGUGUGCAGGUGGUGCAUGGCUGUCGUCAGCUCGUGUCGUGAGAUGUUGGGUUAAGUCCCGCAACGAGCGCAACCCUUGUCCUAUGUUGCCAGCGGGUUAUGCCGGGGACUCGUAGGAGACUGCCGGGGUCAACUCGGAGGAAGGUGGGGAUGACGUCAAGUCAUCAUGCCCCUUAUGUCCAGGGCUUCACACAUGCUACAAUGGCCGGUACAAAGGGCUGCGAUGCCGUGAGGUGGAGCGAAUCCUUUCAAAGCCGGUCUCAGUUCGGAUCGGGGUCUGCAACUCGACCCCGUGAAGUCGGAGUCGCUGGUAAUCGCAGAUCAGCAACGCUGCGGUGAAUACGUUCCCGGGCCU